rnacentral:lncRNA from 10 species
AAAGGGAUUACCUAAAAGCAGGCAUUAGAACCAGUUCAAGGCGCCCUCCCUUCAUCACGCUGCCCUCACCUCCCGCAUCCUACCUGUGGGUGCUGCAGAAUCAACCCACAUCUCAGGAGGAGGAAAGUGCACUGGCGGCACCACCAGGGAGUUCAAGUUCAGACUCGGCCACUUCCUUGCUGGUGACUUUGACUUCUCUGAAUCCCAGUUUCCUCACUGGGGAAGCGAAAGUGAGGAUAUUACCUACUUUGCAAGACAGUGUGAACAGAACAGAGAGCACGCAAAGCUGCGCUUAACAAGUCUCAUCACACAGCCCGCUUUUGUAGUGGCGAGGCAGCACCUGGAGGGAAGGCCUGCGCCUCCACAGGUGGCUGAUGACGGGGCUCUCCAGCCUCAAACGCUGGAAGGCUUAGUGCCUGGAGUGCCCUCCAAGGGGUGCUUGCUCCUCUGCCUGCCCUUGCCGGGCCCCUCACCCGACGCCGCGCUUCACCCUGACACACACAGACUUUCCAUGGCUGGUGGUCAUGCUGCCCUGCCCUGGGAGCACAUCUGCCCAGGAUCACAGAGAUGUCAGGGGGAAGCCGCUCUGACUUGAUCUCAGGCACAACCUGACACUGGAGUUUUCUUUCACCAGUCAGCAGAGGAAACAUGUGGGAUGAAUUAACUAAGCCAACCAGGGAAAGCAACGAAAGCAACGGCAGUUGGACUUCAAUCGGUUCCCAGACAAUGGAGCGUGGGGUGAGCCCACCUCUAUCCAGCAGGGCAAGGGGCCUCCCAGGCGCCUCAAUCUGGACGCACUUAAUCAGGUUCUGAGAUCAUGCACGGGAAAAAGAACACAUCCUGGAGAGUUGGCUGGCUGGCCGCACCACCUCCAGGGUCACUGAGAGCUAACUGACGCCAUGAAACAUGGAGCACAAAGCAUGGGUCCUAUUUUCCAAAGGAUUCCAAGAAGGGGUGGGCAGCCAUAAGCUCCGGUUUUCACUCUGUCGCCCAGGCUGGAGCGCAGUGGCAUGAUCAUGGCUCACUGCAGCCUUGACCUCCAGAACUCAGGUGAUCCUCCCACCUCAGCCUCCCAGGUAGCUGAGACUACAGGCAGGUGACACCAUGCCCAGCUAAUUUUUUGUGUUUUAAUAGAAACAGGGUUUCACCAUGUUGCCCAGGCUGGUCUUGAACUCGUGGGCUCAAGCAAUCCAUCCACCUCAGCCUCUCAAAGUGUUGAGAUGACAGGCAUGAGCCACCAUGCCCAGCCCUAAUCUUGUUUUAGACACUUCCGUUUCUCUUUCAAUGUCCAUCACCUCCACUUUGAUGCCUUCUACCUCCUUAGUCAUACUCCACUCAUCAGCUACCACUACCACCACUGAACAAGACAUCUGGUACUCCCUAGUUGCACCACACCUGGACUGAUAUCUCAAAUUCCAUCUUGUAUGCAAUCCUAGAGCAUAACUUUAUAAUUUUAGGAAGUCUUCGUUGAUUCAUAGUGCUUUCCUGGUGGGUCUUAUCUAAGUUCAGAAGGAAAACUUAAUGUUUCUCUCAUGGGUACAUAACAGGGGAGUUGGGUAUCUGGAUUGUUGUAGAAUUGCAACCCUAGCAAAUCCCUUCUCUCUAAAACUGACCUGAUGUUUAGCAUCUCUCAGAAACUGUAGCAGGUUCAUGCUAUACAUAUUUACUGAGCACCUACUAUGUGGCCAACUCGAUGGUUGGCACUUGAGAUAUAUUCAUGAAUGAUACAAAGAACCUCUGCCCUUGUGCAGCUGGCAUUCACAGGCAGUAAAGAAGGGGAUAGGAAUGAAGGUGGAGACAGAGUAAAUAAUAAACAUGAUAUGAGAAAUACUAUUAAAAAAAACAAAAAAAAAGGAGGAAAAGAGUAAAUCAGGGUAAAAGUGAUUAGAAGGGAUGAGGGCUCAGAUUGCUGUUUAAAAUAGUUUAGGGAGGUAUCAAUAAGAAAGUGCCCAAAUAGGUGGCACAGGCUCUUUAACAUAGGUGCUCCUUGAAUGCCUGCAAGAGGAAGGUGGCAAGUACAGCUGAAGAGGAAUAAAAUUGGGGCAAGAGGGAGGUAAUAGGACAGUGACAGUUGGGGAAAGCAGAUACUGAAGGAGCUUUUAUUCUAAGGAAAAUGAGGAGCCAUAGAGAUACAUGUUGCUUUUUUGCCUGCCCAGCAUCUUUGGUUACACUUCCCUAAUUUUCCCACCCCUCCCCUGCUUUCAGUCAGAUGGGUUAGGUGGGACCGAUCAAAUGUCACAAUUUGGGUUCACACACUCAGGUAUGGCAAAUCAGUAUCCUGGUCAUUUGAUCCAUAUUGAGCCUAAAGUAGACAUUUGACCCACAUUAAGCCUAAAAUUCAAUACCAGGAUUUUCACUGAACUGAAAAAAAAGCGGGGCAUGGGGGAGUGGGGUGUGAUCUUUCUUCCUAGGUUGCCAAGUUGAUGGAGUGUACAUCUGGAGUUUUCAGCAGCCAUUGUGGCCUCAUGAAGCAGAAGCUUGCCUAAGAAUGAUGCCAGCACAGAGGAACACAGAGCCUUGGAACAGAGAAACAGAAGUCCCCAUUGACAUCGUUUGAGCACCUGGAUUCAGCCUUGCCUGAAGCUGAUGUCCCUAGCCUUUUUAGUUAUAGGUUAACAUUUCCCUUUUUAGCUUGGACUAGUUUGUCGGAUUUCUCCUCUUUGAAUGGAAAAAGUCUUGACUACAACACUAAUGAAUGCAAACGAGUUGUCUUUUACCAUGGCCUUGGUGUCUUGUCUCUUCAGCCAAAGGAGUAAUUAAUGGAGGGUGAGAUGGCAAGGGGUGAAAUGUGAGUUAAGGAGUAAAGUUUAGGAGAACUGCUAACCAUACUCCUGUCCUGUAGCUUUCAUUGCCAAGACCAUUAAAUCCCUACCUGUAUGUUCUGUCUCACCUCAGUCCACGAGAACUUUUCCAGGCACAUGGAAAUAUUGGCGUCAAAUUAAGAACCAAGUAAGUCUUGCAUUGAAGCCCCUCUGACCUUGUAACCCAGCUCCCCAGUAACUGACCUCCCGUUUCCCCCUCCCUGCAUGUCUAGGUCCUCUUUGCUUCCAAAAGAUGCCAAUGACUUGAUUCCCUUCCCUAAACCUCAAUUUCCCUGUGCCUGCCUGUGGUAGGUUGAAUUGUUAGCUCUGAUUCACACCCUUGCCAUGGCCUCUUCGCGGGUGGAAGGUACUUCCCUACCCUUUGACUUUGGGUCUGGUCAUGUGACUUGCUCUGGCCAAUGGCAUGUGGGCAGAAAUGGCAGCAUGCUUGUUCUGAGAUUUGGCCUUGAGUGGCCUUGCGUAUUUCCACUUGUACACUUGUGCCUUUGUUAUCUCUAUGAGAAGACAAUGCACCAACGAUCCCAUUGUUGUCAGGAGGAAGAAGAGAGAUUUAGGGAGCAUAGUCUCUCCAGCUGCCAUUGCCCUAAGUUGAACUACCCCAACCUCGUCACAGACCUAUAGCUAUAAACCUAUAGCUAUAAACUCCAGUCAAGCCUACAUGAACAAACCGCAAUCAAUCUGCAAAAGUGUUAGCAGUAAUAAAUUAUUAUUAUCUUAAGCCAUAGAGUUUUGAGGUGAUGCUAUGAAGCAUCUGCUAACUGAUACACUGACUUCUUGAUACUGACUGCCAAUAUCACCCUCCUGGCCUAUAUUUUUGGACAUUCAUUGAUGAUCUGCACCUCCAAGACAUCCUGGACAUCCUGGAGUAAGAUAUUUGGACUCUGCAUAUGUGAGAGGAAGGACCCCUCUUUUCUUCUCUGUACAGUUUCCAGAUAAAAUAUAGGAUGCCCACUUUAAUUUGCAUUUCAGAUAAAAACUGAAUAUUUUUUGGUAUAAGUAUGUCCCAGGCAAUAUUUGCAAAUUUAUACAAAAUUCAAAUUUAACUGGGAAUUCUGCAUUUUUAUUUGCUAAGUCUGGCAAUUCUAUUUAUCUGCUACUCACUCUGUUUGGCUCUGGAGAAGUAAAAAGACACUCCCCCACCACAACACACACACACACACAAACAUACACAUGCUUCACUUCAGGUUUAAAGUCAUAUAUUCUAUUACUAUAUGGAAAAGUUCUUUGCAGUGAAAGUUUCGAGCACGUGCUUUUGUCAGUCUGUUUAAAGUGAUUGCCCUGUGAAUAUUCUUUCUGAAUUCCAAGGCACAGAGGUGAGGAAAGGAAGAUAUGUAGAAUUAUUUUCACUUUACACUCAGUUGACUGAAUUAGGGUAAGGACUCCAUUUCUCUCUAACCAUCAUGAAAAUCAGUUCAUUCUCAAUACACCAGGGGUGAAAAAUAGAGUUAAAUACCAGAAGCUACGUAUUGAGAUUGCAAAUGGCUGCUUAUCAUUCCUCG